GCAAGUCGAGCGCGCCCUUCGGGGUGAGCGGCGGACGGGUGAGUAACGCGUGGGAACGUGCCCUUUGCUGCGGAAUAGCCACUGGAAACGGUGAGUAAUACCGCAUGAGCCCUUCGGGGGAAAGAUUUAUCGGCAAGGGAUCGGCCCGCGUUGGAUUAGGUAGUUGGUGGGGUAAUGGCCUACCAAGCCGACGAUCCAUAGCUGGUUUCAGAGGAUGAUCAGCCACACUGGGACUGAGACACGGCCCAGACUCCUACGGGAGGCAGCAGUGGGGAAUCUUAGACAAUGGGCGCAAGCCUGAUCUAGCCAUGCCGCGUGAGUGACGAAGGCCCUAGGGUCGUAAAGCUCUUUCGCCUGUGAAGAUAAUGACGGUAGCAGGUAAAGAAACCCCGGCUAACUCCGUGCCAGCAGCCGCGGUAAUACGGAGGGGGUUAGCGUUGUUCGGAAUUACUGGGCGUAAAGCGCGCGUAGGCGGACCAUCAAGUUGGGGGUGAAAUCCCGGGGCUCAACCCCGGAACUGCCUCCAAAACUGGCGGUCUGGAGUUCGAGAGAGGUGAGUGGAAUUCCGAGUGUAGAGGUGAAAUUCGUAGAUAUUCGGAGGAACACCAGUGGCGAAAGGCGGCUCACUGGCUCGAGACUGACGCUGAGGUGCGAAAGUGUGGGGAGCAAACAGGAUUAGAUACCCUGGUAGUCCACACCGUAACGAUGAAUGCCAGUCGUCGGCAGCAUGCUUGUCGGUGACACACUAACGGAUUAAGCAUUCGCUGGGAGUACGGCGCAGUACACUCAAGGAUGACGGA
rnacentral:rRNA from 1 species